rnacentral:rRNA from 1 species
GACGAACCGUGCGAACGUUGUUCGGAAUCACUGGGCUUAAAGGGCGCGUAGGCGGGCUGUCCAGUCUGGGGUGAAAUCCCGCGGCUCAACCGUGGAACUGCCUCAGAUACUGACGGCCUCGAGGGAGAUAGGGGCAUGCGGAACUGUAGGUGGAGCGGUGAAAUGCGUUGAUAUCUACAGGAACUCCGGUGGCGAAGGCGGCGUGCUGGAUCUCUUCUGACGCUGAGGCGCGAAAGCUAGGGGGAGCAAACGGG